rnacentral:rRNA from 1 species
CCCUUAGAUGUCCUGGGCUGCACUCGCGCUACACUGAUGUGUCCAGUAAGCACCUAACCUCUUCCGAAAGGAACGGGUAACCUUUGCAAAGCACAUCGUGAUGGGGAUAGAUUAUUGCAAUUAUUAGUCUUGAACGAGGAAUUCCUAGUAAGCACAAGUCAUCAGCUUGUGUUGAUUACGUCCCUGCCCUUUGUACACACCGCCCGUCGCUCCUACCGAUUGAAUGUUCCGGUGAGCUCUUCGGACUGCGCGGUCUGCAGUUUCUGCGUUCCGUGCGGAAAGUUGCGCAAACCUUAACAUUUAGAGGAAGGAGAAGUCGUAACA